GAUGAACGCUGGCGGCGUGCCUAAUACAUGCAAGUCGAGCGAACAGAUAAGGAGCUUGCUCCUUUGACGUUAGCGGCGGACGGGUGAGUAACACGUGGGUAACCUACCUAUAAGACUGGAAUAACUCCGGGAAACCGGGGCUAAUGCCGGAUAACAUUUAGAACCGCAUGGUUCUAAAGUGAAAGAUGGUUUUGCUAUCACUUAUAGAUGGACCCGCGCCGUAUUAGCUAGUUGGUAAGGUAACGGCUUACCAAGGCAACGAUACGUAGCCGACCUGAGAGGGUGAUCGGCCACACUGGAACUGAGCCACGGUCAAGACUCCUACGGGAGGCAGCAGUAGGGAAUCUUCCGCAAUGGGCGAAAGCCUGACGGAGCAACGCCGCGUGAGUGAUGAAGGUCUUCGGAUCGUAAAACUCUGUUAUUAGGGAAGAACAAAUGUGUAAGUAACUGUGCACGUCUUGACGGUACCUAAUCAGAAAGCCAUGGCUAACUACGUG
rnacentral:rRNA from 1 species